rnacentral:rRNA from 1 species
UACGAAGGGGGCUAGCGUUGCUCGGAAUUACUGGGCGUAAAGGGAGCGUAGGCGGAUAGUUUAGUCAGAGGUGAAAGCCCAGGGCUCAACCUUGGAAUUGCCUUUGAUACUGGCUAUCUUGAGUACGGAAGAGGUAUGUGGAACUCCGAGUGUAGAGGUGAAAUUCGUAGAUAUUCGGAAGAACACCAGUGGCGAAGGCGACAUACUGGUCCGUUACUGACGCUGAGGAGCGAAAGCGUGGGGAGCGAACAGG